rnacentral:rRNA from 1 species
GAUGAACGCUGGCGGCGUGCCUAAUACAUGCAAGUCGAGCGAACGGACGAGAAGCUUGCUUCUCUGAUGUUAGCGGCGGACGGGUGAGUAACACGUGGAUAACCUACCUAUAAGACUGGGAUAACUUCGGGAAACCGGAGCUAAUACCGGAUAAUAUUUUGAACCGCAUGGUUCAAAAGUGAAAGACGGUCUUGCUGUCACUUAUAGAUGGAUCCGCGCUGCAUUAGCUAGUUGGUAAGGUAACGGCUUACCAAGGCAACGAUGCAUAGCCGACCUGAGAGGGAGAUCGGCCACACUGGAACUGAGGCACGGUCCAGACUCCUACGGGAGGCAGCAGUAGGGAAUCUUCCGCGAUGAGCGAAAGCCUGACGGAGCCACGCCGCGUGAGUGAUGAAGGUCUUCGGAUCGUAAAACUCUGUUAUUAGGGAAGAACAUAUGUGUAGGUAACUGUGCACAUCUUGACGGUACCUAAUCAGAAAGCCACGGCUAACUACGUG